AACGAGCGCAACCCUUGUCCUUAGUUACCAGCACGUUAUGGUGGGCAUCUAAGGAGACUGCCGGUGACAACCGGAGGAAGGUGGGGAUGACGUCAAGUCAUCAUGGCCCUUACGGCCUGGGCUACACACGUGCUACAAUGGUCGGUACAAAGGGUUGCCAAGCCGCGAGGUGGAGCUAAUCCCAUAAAACCGAUCGUAGUCCGGAUCGCAGUCUGCAACUCGACUGCGUGAAGUCGGAAUCGCUAGUAAUCGUGAAUCAGAAUGUCACGGUGAAUACGUUCCCGGGCCUU
rnacentral:rRNA from 1 species